rnacentral:lncRNA from 1 species
UGAAGAUGAUUGAUCGAUCACAUUGCUCGGCCAACCACAUCAACAGCUUAACCCACUCGUAUGGGAAUAGAGAGGGUCUCAUCCGAUCGACGACCACACCCUCCUCGUACAAGAGCUAAAGGAGGGCUUCAAUUUUUCAUCCACCGUCAAAGAUGACCGUGCAGCUGAGAUGGGGAUGCGGGAUAUAUGAUAAUGGAUCGUUGGCCCCACC